GAAUUGCAGAAUUCCGCGAAUCAUCGAGUUUUUGAACGCAAGUUGUGCCCGAGGCUCGUCCCGAGGGCAUGCCCGCCUGAGCGUCCG
rnacentral:rRNA from 1 species